rnacentral:lncRNA from 1 species
UGAAAAGGCUGUUAAAGGUUAAAAUGACAAACUCAAAUUCAAAGGGAUUGGAGGAUUUGGUGUUUAUGAUUUCUCAGAACAACAAUCUAGAGACCACCAGGGUGGGUUUCAGCUGCUCGGAGCCCCAGUUAAUGACCCCCUCAGUGUCACAGUGAUUUGCUUAGGGUACUUGGGCAUCCCCAUGGGCCUGGGGAGUAUUCGAGGUUGGAAUCAUUAGAUGUGUGUGUUUGUGCAUGUGCACCUGUGUAUGUGUGCAUGCAUGUGUGUGUGUGCAUGUGUGUGUGUGUGUGUGUGUGUGUGUGUGUGUGAAUGAUUGGAAGGAGGAGCCUGUGUGUUAACCAAAAUAGACUCACAUAGAUUCUAAACCUUGAGUCUGUGGGACCAUGGUGUGAGUCUGGGCCUCCGCAGUUGGUAAAGGAGCACUUAGUUGGCCGACAUUUUUGCAGGAAUUGAAGUGUCUAUUGCAUCUAAUGCACAGGUGUCACUGCUGCCCAAGCAGCCCCCACACUGGAAUGGAACCAGUGUUCUGGGGUUCUUUCUUGGGGAGAUCUAUUCCUUUAUAUAUAAACAUCAUUCAAUUAAAGGGAAGGGGUUUAUGUCUGGAGUUUUGGCCUGGCAGCUAAAAAUACCAGGUUGCCAAGUACUGAUUUCCUUCUAAAUUCCCCAAAGUAGCAGAGAAAGCUGAUAUUGUAGCCAACUGUCUUCUGAUGCCUUCCCACCCACUAGGGAUGUGGGGCAGGUAAGGAGUGGGGAAAAGAAACCAGGGGGAUAAGUAAACUGAAUGUAUCUCCUGCCUUCUAGCCUCAUUCCCCAAAUAUUUCCACUGAUGUACUCCCGCAGGGGACUGUGAAGGUGUUUGUACCCCUGGGAGUCUGGAAGGAGGUAGCCUAAAUCAGUCUACAACCUGCUGGAGUUAGCCUCAAAAUUUAUAGGAUAUCUGCAUUUGUGCUAUCCAUACUGGUUUGAAUACACUAAUAAUAUAAUCCUUUCUUCCCAAAUUCUGGAGUAAAAUUGAUGCUCUGAGAACAUGUGCCAUGUUUAUUCUGUGGCUUCUCCUUCCUCAAUCCUGGCUACACUGCCUGCUCCAGCUUGAAAAAAAUGACUGGAUAUCCCACUCUUCUAAUGUUGGGAUGUUCCCAAAAGAGUGGGGUGGGGGGUAUUGGGUUUAUGUUCUGGUUCUUAUCUUCCCCCUCUCAUUCUGUUGGGGACCCUCUCCCUCGUCUACCAAAUUUAAAAAGAAAGAAAAGGAAAGAGAUGUCAGAAUGUUUCUUAUUCCCCAUGAUGAUGAGAUUGAGGGUCCCCUGGAGUACAUGGCAAAAAUAAUGCAAGAAUUUCCUUUUCUUAAAAGUCAGAAGAAGUGGCAUCAAAGCCCCCUUGUAAGAAUAUUAGUAAAAUCCAAGAUGGUGGUCACUCAGCUAAAUAAAUAUAAAGAGCAGCCUCAUGAAGUGGAAAAAUCAAGGGCUUCAAAAUUAGACAAAGGUUCAGAUUAUGGCUCUAUUUAGUAGCUGUGUGACUUUGAGCAUGUUACUUAACCUUCCUGGCCCUCCCUUCCCUCUUCUAUAAAAUGGUUAAACCUGACUUAAAGUUUAUGGUGAGGAUUUAGUAAAGUAAUAUAUGUAAAGCCCUUUGCACAGUAUCUGGUAAAUAGUGGGUAUGCAAUAAAUGCUAUUUAUCUUAGUGUUCAUUUGUGGAGAAUCAAAUUAAAAAGCCUAUACCAGACCCGAACUCAGCUCUGUUACUAAUUGCCUGUGUGAAUGUGAGCAAAUUGCCUAAACUUUCUUGCCCUUGGUUUCCUUGAGAGGAAAUAAAAUGAGAGGAUUAUAUUAGAUGAUCUUGAGUCCCAUCCAGCUCUGAAAGUGUAUUUCCAACAUUUGCCUGUUGGAGGCAGUGUUGAGCAUAUUAGUGCUCCAUGUCAGAAUAUUAAAGAGCAACACAGGGUCUCCCUAGGGGCUGCUAAACCAGUGAUGGGAAGAAAAUAACAGUUCAUGCAUUCUUGUCCUUGUGUUCACUUACUGACAGUGCAUCUGGACUGAAACCCUUUCUUGUGACCUAGGUGUUCUAGACCUGUUGGGUGUAUGGCUUGCUUCUCAGGGAAGAUGUUUGCACCACCUGACCUGAAUCCAUGGUGCCAGUGAGUGAGUGCCAGUACCCAGGAGAGCUGGCCUCAUAAGGAUAAUAGAGUUAAAUGUUUUUGAACUGGAACUUUAGCAUUAGCCUGGCUUCAUGGCCCAGACAAUAAGGAGCUGUUUUAUGAAGUUAUCAGAGGGGGCUGAGUGUGUCUGAGGAACAAGAGCUGUGUUAUUUGGAUGCACUGCAAGAGCCUUAUUAAGCUUGAGGAAGGAGAGAGGAUUUCCCCUUUGGAGAAAAUGCAACACUGUCCAAAGACUGUGAGGUUUGCCAAGGACAUUUGGACAAUGAAGUGCUGCAGGUGCAAUGAAGUCAUGUUUCAGGCAAAGAUUGACCUUAAAAAAAUAAACAGAAUGCUGGAGAUGACAAAUCAGGCUUGUGACUACUGGUGACGCAAAAGUCAGAUCCAGGCAGAACUGGUUGAGCAAAGAAAGAAAGUCCUUCUGCUUCUGGUUUUCGGUGCAGUGACAGGCCUUGGUGCCUUAGUUUCUCCUCAAGUUAAGUGGGUGAAUGGCAGAAGCUCUGGUGGGAGGCUGGAGGCCAGAACGUGAGAAGCCAAUGCUGCUUCCUCUCCCAUGGCCGCUCCUGCCUUGUCUCUGCCUUUCAGUGUGGUGCCACCGGUAGAAGGCUUGUUUUGAAUCUCCAAUGAUCCAUCAGCUUCUUCUUAAUUUUAUAUUUUUCUUCUUUCCACCUGUUUCUCAAGGCUUGAUGAAUGUAGAACUGGCAUAAACAAAUCCAGAGUGGAUACAAUUAGAAAGAACCAGAGACAUUUUUUCAAAUUGGACCUGAAUCUACACCAAUACAUCAUCUUAAAGCAUAUAGGAGUUACUUUCCCUGCUUGCUUUUGAAAGUUUUCAUUUGGUCUGUGAGUUCUCAUCUGGACUGGUAGUGUCCAAAUGACCCAGUAUUGUUGAAGAAAGCUUUAUCACAUAUGUGUAGGAUUGGGUUAUGGAAGAAGCAAAGGUUUGAGGAGGCAUUCAGCUAAACAUCUUCAGGAAUGUGGUCAAAGAGAGGCUACAGGAACAACCCCAGGGGCCAGCCUGUAACUCAGCUUUCUUUAGAGGAUAGACCCUCUCUGUCAUGGUAACCUGGAUGAAAGCAGACCAUCAGGGAAGUGAGGCAGAGCUGAGUAUGCAGCUCCUGGCAUCUGGGUGGGAGGCAGACUCCCAGACUUCACACAUCUGCCCCAUUCCUCUGAGGUCCUGAGACUCCUCCUGCAGCCGUGGCAAGUUUGAAGCAAGUGAAAACAAAUUAUCCCAACUUCUUUGGGAUUAUUGAAACUGAACUGAAUUUUGAAUCUUUCAGAGGUUUCUUAAUAAAAAUUUAAGAGUGGACAGUGAGAUGCAAGGAAGGCGGAAAGUGUCCCCCAACCCCAUGCCCUACCUCCUUGGAAGAAAAGACAUGGAACUAAGAAAUCAGAUUGACUAGUAUUCUGGUGAUAAGAAAGCAAGCAGUAGAAUACCAUAUAUCCUGGGCAUGUGGCCCCACCUUUCCUGAAAUUCUGGGUGGAGGUUACAAAAAAGAAAAAGAAAAAGAAAAAAUGUUUUCAUGUCCCUAGGGUAUUUGCAAAUCCAGGUCACCAGCUAGUCUAUUUCAACACCCAUAGCUUGGUGUAUCUAGUGUUCUUGCAUGUUCUGUCUUUUCUCCAGAGGAGAGGACAAAGAGGAACUCAUAAACUCUUUCCCAACUGAUGCUUUUACAAGAGCUAUUUGAAAAGAUUCCACAAUGACUUUUUGUCCCUUAAUCUACAGCUCUGCUCUGAGACUGGAUUUGAAAAGUAAAAAUGUGAUUAGGAUUGUUUGGUUUGGCAUUGAGGUUAUUGGCAACCAUGGUUCUUUAGGUCUGGCUUUGAAAUAUCAGGGUGCUGGUUGGUUCUCAGGUGGAAGGAAGCGGGGCAUUAGGAGUCCUACCACUUUAUGAGUAGUAGAGGGGGAAGUUGGUAGGUGAGGGACAGGUGGAUUCAAAUAUUUGUAGAUGUUUGCUUUGCAUUUCCUUGCUGCCAUAUGUUGUUGUUGUUCUUUUACAAAUCAAUCUCCCAUACAAAUCAGCUGGCCGGUUUUCCUGAGUCCUGGUUUGGCUCUCCUGGAAACUUGGAGACGUGGCCUUUCUCAACCCCGCUGACGUUUCACACGGGGUUUCAGGAGGUGACUGCCACCUUGUGGCCACACUUAGCAAGUCCCCUUCCACCAGUUCACUGUGGUCUCAAGGCCAACAGUUUUCCACAGACUUGUCAUUCUUGCCACCUCUUCUACACCUGACCCCUUCACCUUCCAGAAAUAACCCUGGUGAAUGUGCAUCUGAUAUGUUGGAAAUUAUCUUUAUAUGUUGGGGAAAUGCAAAAAAGGGAAACUGCCUGGACCUUGGGUCUAGACAGUGAAUCUAUUGCAGUCAUUGGUGGUGGUUUUGGUUUUGGGUAUUAGUACAUAUCCUGAUGUGUCUGUAGUUAAACAGCCUCUGAGAAGGGUCUACCUCGAUUCCUUUUGAGUCCCUUGAGGGAAACUGGUGUGCAUAGGGUGGGUGCUUUGAGAGUAUUGCUUACUGGAUCUACCUUUGGGAAAUGCAGUUGUGCUUGGAGGAGCAGGAUAAGCAGGAAUCAGCGAGGAAAGUUAUGAGCAUUGAGUCAAGUUGACCAUAGACCUUGGGAUGAGAGUGGGGCACAGUGUCUUUUAAACAUGGUGAAAACUCAUGAGAAAAUCACCCUAUUAAAUAAAAGGAAUCUAUAAAUCCUUUUAUAGAGGGUUGAAUAAGCUGAUCUUUGAAGUCUCUUUCUUGCUUCAAAAUAAAGCUAUGCAAUGCCGCUGGUACUAUUUAUAAAAAUGUUCCAUAGUGUAGAAUGGUUUCAAUAAAAGGAAGAUUUUUGUUUCCACUGAUGUUUCUUGACUUUCACCUGAAUUGACAACACAUAAUCUUUUUCCAUUUCAACUUCCUUGAUGAAGUGGGCGUGCUGGCACCACCCAGGUACCUGGUCUCUGUUUUUAUGGACAAAAAGAGUUCAGCCUCUCACUCGGCAUGAUCUUUUCUGCAGUAUUUUCGUGUGUGUGUGUGUGUGUGUGUGUGUGUUUUACUUAUGACUCCUGAAUCAAUCUCUCUCUUUUCUUUCCCUCCCUCCCUC